UUAAGUUAUUAAGGGCGCACGGUGGAUGCCUUGGCACUAGAAGCCGAUGAAGGACGUUACUAACGACGAUAUGCUUUGGGGAGCUGUAAGUAAGCUUUGAUCCAGAGAUUUCCGAAUGGGGAAACCCAGCAUGAGUUAUGUCAUGUUAUCGAUAUGUGAAUACAUAGCAUAUCAGAAGGCACACCCGGAGAACUGAAACAUCUUAGUACCCGGAGGAAGAGAAAAGAAAAUUCGAUUCCCUUAGUAGCGGCGAGCGAAACGGGAAGAGCCCAAACCAACAAGCUUGCUUGUUGGGGUUGUAGGACACUCUAUACGGAGUUACAAAGGACGACAUUAGACGAAUCAUCUGGAAAGAUGAAUCAAAGAAGGUAAUAAUCCUGUAGUCGAAAAUGUUGUCUCUCUUGAGUGGAUCCUGAGUACGACGGAGCACGUGAAAUUCCGUCGGAAUCUGGGAGGACCAUCUCCUAAGGCUAAAUACUCUCUAGUGACCGAUAGUGAACCAGUACCGUGAGGGAAAGGUGAAAAGCACCCCGGAAGGGGAGUGAAAUAGAACCUGAAACCGUGUGCUUACAAGUAGUCAGAGCCCGUUAAUGGGUGAUGGCGUGCCUUUUGUAGAAUGAACCGGCGAGUUACGAUUUGAUGCAAGGUUAAGCAGUAAAUGUGGAGCCGUAGCGAAAGCGAGUCUGAAUAGGGCGUUUAGUAUUUGGUCGUAGACCCGAAACCAGGUGAUCUACCCUUGGUCAGGUUGAAGUUCAGGUAACACUGAAUGGAGGACCGAACCGACUUACGUUGAAAAGUGAGCGGAUGAACUGAGGGUAGCGGAGAAAUUCCAAUCGAACCUGGAGAUAGCUGGUUCUCUCCGAAAUAGCUUUAGGGCUAGCCUCAAGUGAUGAUUAUUGGAGGUAGAGCACUGUUUGGACGAGGGGCCCCUCUCGGGUUACCGAAUUCAGACAAACUCCGAAUGCCAAUUAAUUUAACUUGGGAGUCAGAACAUGGGUGAUAAGGUCCGUGUUCGAAAGGGAAACAGCCCAGACCACCAGCUAAGGUCCCAAAAUAUAUGUUAAGUGGAAAAGGAUGUGGCGUUGCCCAGACAACUAGGAUGUUGGCUUAGAAGCAGCCAUCAUUUAAAGAGUGCGUAAUAGCUCACUAGUCGAGUGACACUGCGCCGAAAAUGUACCGGGGCUAAACAUAUUACCGAAGCUGUGGAUUGUCCUUUGGACAAUGGUAGGAGAGCGUUCUAAGGGCGUUGAAGCAUGAUCGUAAGGACAUGUGGAGCGCUUAGAAGUGAGAAUGCCGGUGUGAGUAGCGAAAGACGGGUGAGAAUCCCGUCCACCGAUUGACUAAGGUUUCCAGAGGAAGGCUCGUCCGCUCUGGGUUAGUCGGGUCCUAAGCUGAGGCCGACAGGCGUAGGCGAUGGAUAACAGGUUGAUAUUCCUGUACCACCUAUAAUCGUUUUAAUCGAUGGGGGGACGCAGUAGGAUAGGCGAAGCGUGCGAUUGGAUUGCACGUCUAAGCAGUAAGGCUGAGUAUUAGGCAAAUCCGGUACUCGUUAAGGCUGAGCUGUGAUGGGGAGAAGACAUUGUGUCUUCGAGUCGUUGAUUUCACACUGCCGAGAAAAGCCUCUAGAUAGAAAAUAGGUGCCCGUACCGCAAACCGACACAGGUAGUCAAGAUGAGAAUUCUAAGGUGAGCGAGCGAACUCUCGUUAAGGAACUCGGCAAAAUGACCCCGUAACUUCGGGAGAAGGGGUGCUCUUUAGGGUUAACGCCCAGAAGAGCCGCAGUGAAUAGGCCCAAGCGACUGUUUAUCAAAAACACAGGUCUCUGCUAAACCGUAAGGUGAUGUAUAGGGGCUGACGCCUGCCCGGUGCUGGAAGGUUAAGAGGAGUGGUUAGCUUCUGCGAAGCUACGAAUCGAAGCCCCAGUAAACGGCGGCCGUAACUAUAACGGUCCUAAGGUAGCGAAAUUCCUUGUCGGGUAAGUUCCGACCCGCACGAAAGGCGUAACGAUUUGGGCACUGUCUCAACGAGAGACUCGGUGAAAUCAUAGUACCUGUGAAGAUGCAGGUUACCCGCGACAGGACGGAAAGACCCCGUGGAGCUUUACUGUAGCCUGAUAUUGAAAUUCGGCACAGCUUGUACAGGAUAGGUAGGAGCCUUUGAAACGUGAGCGCUAGCUUACGUGGAGGCGCUGGUGGGAUACUACCCUAGCUGUGUUGGCUUUCUAACCCGCACCACUUAUCGUGGUGGGAGACAGUGUCAGGCGGGCAGUUUGACUGGGGCGGUCGCCUCCUAAAAGGUAACGGAGGCGCUCAAAGGUUCCCUCAGAAUGGUUGGAAAUCAUUCAUAGAGUGUAAAGGCAUAAGGGAGCUUGACUGCGAGACCUACAAGUCGAGCAGGGUCGAAAGACGGACUUAGUGAUCCGGUGGUUCCGCAUGGAAGGGCCAUCGCUCAACGGAUAAAAGCUACCCCGGGGAUAACAGGCUUAUCUCCCCCAAGAGUUCACAUCGACGGGGAGGUUUGGCACCUCGAUGUCGGCUCAUCGCAUCCUGGGGCUGUAGUCGGUCCCAAGGGUUGGGCUGUUCGCCCAUUAAAGCGGUACGCGAGCUGGGUUCAGAACGUCGUGAGACAGUUCGGUCCCUAUCCGUCGUGGGCGUAGGAAAUUUGAGAGGAGCUGUCCUUAGUACGAGAGGACCGGGAUGGACAUACCUCUGGUGUACCAGUUGUCGUGCCAACGGCAUAGCUGGGUAGCUAUGUGUGGACGGGAUAAGUGCUGAAAGCAUCUAAGCAUGAAGCCCCCCUCAAGAUGAGAUUUCCCAACUUCGGUUAUAAGAUCCCUCAAAGAUGAUGAGGUUAAUAGGUUCGAGGUGGAAGCAUGGUGACAUGUGGAGCUGACGAAUACUAAUCGAUCGAAGACUUAAUCAA
rnacentral:rRNA from 1 species